ensembl:lncRNA
ACCCGCGCCAGCCCGUCUCUCUGGAAAGUUCACCGGAGCCCCGAAAGCCCUUCAAGGCGGGGUCUGGUCCCACACUGGCGGGUUCUCCCAUUACUGGAGGCUCCUGACCCUUGCCCUUCCCAGGAGGAAGGGAGCAGAGAACGCGCCCGAUUCCCGACCGGGUGAAAAACUUUGCUUCCUAGGAGCUCGGGGGAGGCCAAAGUGAGUUCCGCCGGAGACGCCCGGGAGGGGCGGCGGACCUGAGAAGGCAAAACAGCCCUCCGUCCUAAGCGCCUGGACGCGGGGAGCCGGCCUGCGCAGGGAGGGCAUCGCCCGCCCCCCAGCACGCCGGCCCAGCCGCCCGGCGAUCGCCGACCUCCCCGCGUCUCCCUGGAGUCGCCCUGCAGCCCCGGCCCCUGGCAGAAGCAGACCUGCGCCUUUAAGAGCCGCUGGGUUUACCUUUGCUCCGUUUACCCGGCGCAGCGCUGCCCCCUCCUCCCGGGCCCCCCGCCCGCCAGCCGCCGCGAGUCGCCCGCGGACUCACCGCGCGUGUCCUGGGGGCCGCGGUGCGCCGGCUCCCGCCCGCGACAGCCGAGGGGCCGGGCCCUGCGCCCUGCUGGGGUCCCUGCCCGCCCUCGGAGCUGCGGCCGCUGGUCGGGAAAGUUGCCUCCAAAUCCUCUGAUGUCCCCACCCUUCUGCCGUGCAGAUUUUCUUUCCAUCCAUCUCUCAACAAGCCAAGCUUAGUAGAAACCACAAGCUUAGUAGAAACCAAGCCUGGGUCCUACACUAAGAAGACACUCCCCACCCUACCGCCCCAUCAAGUCCUGUUACAAGCCAAAGCCUGUCUCCUUGCAGAGAGUCAGACAAGACUCAGCUAGGGGUUUCCCCUGGCACCCCAGCCCCCGGGGCCCCUCUUCUGCAGGCCCCUCUGCUCUGCUAACCUAAAGGGUCUGCGGCUUUCCUGGGGGGCUCUGGUGGCCAAGCAGCGUGACAGAGGGGGCCCAGGGGCAGCCCAGCCCACUCCUUGCCCCAUUCAGUCCCUCCUCCUCCCUGCCAGUGACAAGCCGCUGCCCUGCAGGUAGGACAAGCAUCCCUGCGCCCGGAGGACUGAAUGCAGAAGCUGGAAACAGCUCUCCCUCACAGACUGUGUGGGCAGCUUCUGAAAAACCAAAGUUCAAACCCGCCCCACUUUCUCUUGGGAGGCGCAGCAUCCAGACAGGGAGAGCUCAGCCAGCAGAGAAACCCCCUUCCUGCCCCAGUGCCGCAGGCUCUCCUUUCUGACCCCACCCGUACCCGGGCAGACACAGUCUCCCGAAGCACUGCAGGAACGCUUGGCGGGCCCUGACCUCACUCUGCCCCUAAGGUGCAGAAGUCAUUUCCUUCUCUGGGCCUCAGUUUCCUCCUCUGCAAAAUGGGAAUAAAGUGAAUGCUUGCCUCUCAGAAGGAUUCUAUGAGAGUAUGAAUGUAGAAGUGCUUGCUUAACUGCAGGAAGAUCUGCAUGUGUGUAGAUCAUUAGUGUUUGGCCAAAGGGCCCUUCUCGGAGAACGCAAUGGCA